rnacentral:rRNA from 1 species
ACUCCUACGGGAGGCAGCAGUGAGGAAUUUUCCGCAAUGGGCGCAAGCCUGACGGAGCAAUGCCGCGUGGAGGAAGAAAGCCUGUGGGUCGUAAACUCCUUUUCUCAGAGAAGAAGUUCUGACGGUAUCUGAGGAAUCAGCAUCGGCUAACUCCGUGCCAGCAGCCGCGGUAAU